AUUUACCACAACCUUGCAUCUGGAAGCCAACACCAUUUAAAACUCUCAUUGUAUUCUUUAAAUCCUUCAAGCUCUGGUCGAUCUGCUUGCCAAGGUGAAUAUAUCUUUUACAAGGGCACAUUUUCAUGGGAUGUACCUACAGAGUUCAGCAGCUGGGAGCAUCCACCCAACACCCAGAAGCUUGAGCAGGAAAAUCAGAGC